GUUACGCUGUUCGUAUUACCCUGGGUCGUAUCCCUCUUUCUCCCGUCACCACCUCUUCUCCCCUCACCUAGGUCGUAUCCCUGUUUCUCCCCUCACCACCUCUUCUCACCUCUUCUCCCCUCACCAAACCCAUCGAAACCCUAAAAAUCGGCCCUCGCGCUCCUCCUCCUCCGCCGUAGCACCCGACGCCACGAUCGCCGGGGGAGUUGGCACCAAACGUCGAGGCAGCGGCGGUGGUGUUGGGGGAGGAAUCNUC
rnacentral:lncRNA from 1 species